AACAACUCUCAGCAACGGAUAUCUUGGCUCUUGCAACGAUGAAGAACGCAGCGAAAUCCGAUAUGUAGUGUGAAUUGCAGAAUUCCGCGAAUCAUCGAGUCUUUGAACGCAAGUUGCGCCCGAGGCUUGACCAAGGGCAUUUCUGCCAGAGCGUCACCG
rnacentral:rRNA from 1 species